rnacentral:lncRNA from 1 species
CGUCAUCCCAGCCCCAGGCUGAAACAGUUCUGAACGUUCCAUGCUAGUUCUGAACGUCACAUGCUAAUGCAAAAAGCUGGUUUUUGAUAUAAAUAUGAACUUGAUUGAACAAAACAUGCAUGUAUUGUAUAACAUAAUGUCCUAGGGUUGUCAUCUGAUGAAGAUCAUAAAAGGACCUGAGCCCUAGGACCAUGCCUCAGGACUACCUGACAUGAUGACUCCUUGCUGUCCCCAGUCCACCUGGCCGUGCUGCUGCUCCAGUUUCAACUGUUCUGCCUGUGGCUAUGGAACCCUGACCUUUUCACCGGACGUGCUACCUGUCCCAGACCUGCUGUUUUCAACUCUCUAGAGACAGCAGGAACGGUAGAGAUACUCUCAAUGAUAGGCUAUGAAAAGCCAACUGACAUUUACUCUUGAGGUGCUGACUUGUUGCACCCUCGACAACUGUGACUAUUAUUAUUUGACCAUGCUGGUCAAUUAUGAACAUUUGAACAUCUUGGCCAUGUGCUGUUAUAAUCUCCACCCGGCACAGCCAGAAGAGGACUGGCCACCCCUCAUAGCCUGGUUCCUCUCUAGGUUUCUUCCUAGGUUUUGGCCUUUCUAGGGAGUUUUUCCUAGCCACCGUGCUUCUACACCUGCAUUGCUUGCUGUUUGGGGUUUUAGGCUGGGUUUCUGUACAGCACUUUGAGAUAUCAGCUGAUGUAAGAAGGGCUAUAUAAAUACAUUUGAUUUGAAAUUUGAUUUGAUUUACUCAGAGCCAGUGGGAGGUCAUUAGUAAAGAUUGAAAAUAAGGGGCCUAGACAGCUGCCCUGGGGAAUUCCUGAUUUUACCUGGAUACUGUUGGAGAGACUUCCACUAAAGAACACUCUCUGUGUUCUGUUAGAGGUAACUCUUUAUCCACAAUUUAUCCUGCAGCAGACUAUGAUGGAUAAUGUCAAAAGCGACACUGCAGUCUAACAAAACAGCACCCAUAAUAUUUGUAUUAUCAAUUUCUCUCAGCCAAUUAUCAGUAAUUUGUGCAAGUGCUGUGCUUGUUGAAUGCCCUUCCCUAUAAGCAUGCUGAAAGUCUGUUGAUGACAUCUCACUAAAAUAUUUUCCAUGGUGAAAAAGGGGUUUUAAGAGUGGACCUGUUGAGUCCUUCCCUUCACACCGAUCCUCUUAUCCCUCCUAAUGGACUGCUAAAGCCCCAAAAGUCCUUCAUUAUUUCCACCAAUAAUUCACUGAGGUAGUAAUCUCUGAGCGACUAAUUGUUCUUACAAUUCUGCAUAGCAGCAAAUAAUUUAGAGCACCCCGCCAUUAGUUGGCAUUUUAAUGAUGCAUAAGGCAGCUAAUCGUUUCUCAUUACCUGCACCAAAUGUCUAGUGGGAGAAGACACCUGAAAAUUAGACUCCACAUUACCAUGUUUUACUGCCCGAAACCCUAGAUCUGAGGUGAUGAACAUUAAAACAAUCAAGAUCUUCAUUUUGCACACAGCAUUGUAAGCUAUUAUGGGUUACUUUUGAUUUGUAUUCAUAACUCAGUGUGCUUCCAGCCAAUGCAUGUCUACUUGUACAGUCAAAGCUUUUAAUUCCUUAGACAAGAUUGAAAAAACACUGAAGAGAAACACACAGGCUGGAUGCAUUUUUUCCUUAUCACAGAUAAAGUAUUGAAAUACAAUGAUGAGAUUAGAGGGCUGACAUGUUCCCAAUGUUUCAGGAGAAUACCCAUUGCUAUGAUGCUGGAAAUUUGGACAGAAAGCUUACCACUGUCAUUGGUAAUAUCUUAUUACAUAGUGAUGCAUGCAACAACUCUCUGCUCAAAGUAGAAAGAAAAUGGAAGAUUGUCAAAUGUUGUGAGUCUGCC